AUACAAACAGGGAUAAUGUGAUCAAAGCUAGCUGGACUUCUAUUGGUUGACAGCGUUGAUAUACAAAAAAUCUGAGAGCAGAGCAGAGAUCCGUGAGCAGAAGUUCCAUGAGAGCAAGAGGAAGAGUUUGAGCGCAAGAAAUCUGCGCGAGCAGCAUCGAAACCAAGUGCGAGGAGCACGCGCAGAGCAAAUUUGAGCGCGAGAGCAGAGUUCUGAGACACAAUAUCAUGAAAUCUGAGAAUGAAAUCGAUAAAUGCUGCCCUCAAAUCAAUUUAAAAUGCUCUUGAAUUAUCAUAGGAAAUUUAUUCCAUAGCUCUCCUGCAGUAUAGUGCCCCAGACCAUCCUUGGUCAAGCUUCCCUGGAAAGCAAUGAUAGCCCUCAGAGUGAAUGUCUUUCCUUGGAGAACCAUAUUGGACAGAAAUUCACUCAAGCAAAAUUUGUUUUGGUUUGCAAGGUCAGUGUCAAUCCAUGUUACUUCUCCAAUUCUGUAGCAGUGAGUAACUGUCCCUGCACAGAGCACUUUUCCUGAGGUGCUGUUUUCAGUUCUGCUGGACACUGAGAAUGCUCCAGGAUUGGCCUGAGGCAGGGAGACUCAGGCAGUCGGAGUCCUUCUUCCACAGCAGUGUCAACCUGAGCCAUACCAGAAUUCAUCAGAACAGAAAUGGCAAGAGAAACAAGUGGCACUUCUCUUGUCAUUACUUUGCUGAGGUAACAGUCCUGUGAAGAGCAGUGUUUUGUGAGACACACUCGAUACAUUUCUCAUUGUUUUUGCAAUGACAGUAGAGAUGUUGCACUGUGCAUCAACUUGGAGGGCACCAGACCUCAACUGGACUGCUUCAAACAUUGUACUAAGCAGCUCUGCCCUCUGUGAGUAUGUCUGUUUGGUGACCCCAUCUGUGACAACAGCUUUCACCAGCUGCAAGCAUAGGCGUCAGUUUAGGGGGGGACGGUGGGGAUGUGUCCCCCCCACUUUUUGUCAGGGGUCAUUUUGUCUCCAACACAUUCAAAUUCUUCACAUGUAAGCCGUUGUAAACCCAGUUAUUUUCAGUAGUAUAGAAAAUUCCGACGCUCCUGAACGCACCAUCCGCACUCGGCCGAGAGUUGCACAGACACGCAGCACACCUUUGUGAGGUCACAAAAAAACACAAAAAAACGCGCAGAUGCUAAAUUUGCGCCUGUGCCAAGUGGAAGCUCCGACCAGAGGCGUACAGGGGCAAAAUUUCGGCCCGGAAGAAUUAGUACUAUAGCGGCCCACAGACCACUCUACCUGCAUGUACCGAUAGCUGAACAGCUUGGGCCUCUGCCUUUGGUGUGGUGGUUGUGAGUACGAGCCCAGCUUGUGGCAUUUUGCCGCCGUUCUUCGACAUUUUCUCAAAGUGCUGUGGUCUCCAUCCCCCCCACUUUUAAAAACAAACUGACGCCCUUGGCUGCAAGACUGGGUUGUCACUGUCUCUCCUAACAGCAUUUUGAAAUGCAGAGCUGUCACAGAAAGCACAACAUAAAGACUGACAAAACGUAUCAAAUGUGCAGGUGUUCAACACAGAGAUCAUUGAUUUGCCAAGUCUAAUAGGCUGAUGAAGGUUUCCAUUAUUUAAUAAUCCCACCUUCACUCUUUUGGCCCCAAAAGAUGGAUCUACGUGGAGCCACUCAGCGGAAGGAGAGAGGUAGGAAGUCCUCUUCCUUUUUUUGGGUGGAACCACUAGGCCUCUCCAGUUUUCAACCGCUUCAUCAUCUGCUGAAGGAAUGUUUGUGGCAGCAUAAGAUUCCACAAAAGGGUGAACAUCCAUUUUUAUCUUGCCUUCUGCACUGUGGGUAGUCAUGGAUGCUGGAUUGGCUUCUGUGACUAUCACAGAUGCCGCUGUUGCCUCAUCUUUGGUUGUUUCUUUUGCAGAGCAAAUCUGCAUAUUUCCUUCAAUGAAGGAAAGAUGACGAUCAAUGAAGCAAUCAACUCGAACAGGCAAGUUUUCAUGUUUGAAAAGGCCAUGUUUUAUAUUUCUGAACUCUGCUUCAACAGUGGCUGAGCUUGCUGUGAUGCUGGUGCUUUGGAAGAGAGGGACCAUUAUUCCUGUCCAGAGAGGUCAGUCUGGAUCUCAUUACAUGGAUCCACUGUUUUCAUUCCCUCUCUCUCUUCUCCUGGAGUGAUGAUGGAGUCUUCUGCAAUUUGGGCUUUGAGAUAUUUCUUGCACCUUUCUGAUGCGAGAGGGACUCCAGAACUGUCAUCACCCUCUGCGAGGCAGUCCCACUGGCAGAUCUUGAUGCAGUGUGCAACAUCAACCCUGACAAAACAAUGGGGAAAUUUUGCAGACUGGUUCCCACCAUUUGCACCACUGGGACACUGGAGCAGUUAUGUGCUGUCAGAAGGCCUUGAUAAAGGAAGAUAUGACCAGAUGUACCAUUUGGUCUCACCAGUUUUCUCACUACUGAGCCAGUUGCAUCAAAACACACUGCUGGGGUGGCCAAAUUCGGUAGGUGGCUUGGCUCAGGAUCUCCAACAUCCAUUAGAUCUGCUGCCUUUGCUGACCUCCAUACAGCUGGUUCCAUCCUGCCCUCACACAGCUCUUUCGCAAUCUGCUCACGCAGGUUUCCAGACAUGAACUGCUUGGAAUGGCCAGUGUGCAGGGAGAUGUCUGUAUUUUUUAUGUCACAUUGAAACAUCAUUGGGCUAUUAAUUGCUGGCUCUCUGUCACAUUUCAUUUCCAAAUGGCCAUUGCACUCCUUACAGUAGCCUCUAAUCUGUAUGUAAGCAUUGGUGACAGUUGGAUAAACCUUGGUUCUUUGGAACACAAUUGAGUUUUUUUUAUCUUCUUCCACAUUAAAUUAUUUACAACAUGAGUCCAAGUGCCAGGUUUCAAAACUGUGUGUUCCCUUCUCUGAGAUGGAGAAAACUUGUCUUUGUAUUGCACUUUUUCUGGAAUAAAUUUAAUCCAUUCCUCAAAAUGUACUUGAAAAGCAUGACAAUCUUUUUGUUCUGGAGAAAUGCAAUCUGAGUCUGACUGCAUGUCAACAGUACUGUCUGGAUCGCUUUCCUGGUCACUAAAUUCCAAAACUGACCAGAUGUUAUGUCUGUUCAGCUUCACAAAAGUGUACAGGGCCUUUGCAGACAUCUUGCCUUCUAACUGCUGACUCAGCUCUGUCCAGACAGUGGCAGCUGGAGUGGCUAUUUUGCCAUUUUCAACUAUGGCCUCUUUUGAAGUGCAGAGAACAGCAAAAAUUUAAUCCCCGUCUACUGAUGGCUUUCGGGGCAUCUAGUUAAAAAAAAAAAGAUAA